UUGCAUUUUUUAAGUUGAAUAUUUGCUUUUCAUGGACAGGAAUGCAGGACUAGAGCUGGAAUUCAUUCUGCCCCUUCAAGCUGUUUUUCUCACAGGCUUGUCACUGCACUGAAGCAUCAUGAGAGCUUCUGUUGCUGAGGAUGAUACAGUCAGACAGGUUCUUCACAGCUGAAUCCUCUUCAGGUCAAUAUGGUCUGCUCUGAAUGACCCAAACAGGAUUGACUUUUCACUAAAAAAUAAAUCACAGAGCUGGUAUAUGGCCAUAAGAACCUUGUUGCAGACUGGAUCCAAGAAGAUGAUUGGGUCUGCUAGCAACCACACUUCUGCUUCUGUCCUUGAAGGAUUUUCAAAAAUGCAGCUACAUGACUACCAAGGUCAAUGGUUUUUUCCAAGUGGCAACAAACCCACUUUUCCCAGGGAAAGCUCUGACACUUGUGAAAAAGCUGUGCUGUGAGUGACCCCAGCUUCAACAAGUGCAAGGCAGAAGAAAAUGAACCAAUGUGCUUCCUCAGACACACAGCUACAAGCUUCUUAAACUGAUCUUCACUUCAGCACAAGCUGCAAGAGCUUCACACUCACUCAGCAGAGAACUCCCAAUGAGGCCUUGGGAACAUUCAGUAUCUGUCUCCAACAAAUUAAUCCCUCAGGAGAUAAGUAUCCAACAUCUUAGAAGGAAAGAAGACCUUUUCUAAGUGAAUGCUUUUAUUGUCUAUUACAGUCCUCUUAUGGGUUUACUCAACAGAAAGUUGCCAAGAGACCACUGACACUUUGCAUUUUCUGCAGGUCCUUAUGUAUUUUCCGACAUACACAGGAAACUGCUGUGAAUUUAUAGAACAGUUUGUUCUGGUGCAUCCUAGUCACAGCUGUGUGUGUUCAUGUCAUGAGUAAUUAGGCAGGCGGAAGAGGUGUGUAUAACAUCUUUACUCAUUUUAACCAACAGCCUCUUUUCAAAUCCCCUCCUGUUGUUUCCUUGAGAGGUGGCAUGGAAAUUUCUGCUAGCACAUCUAAUUAAGUAAAGCAGAGAUUAGUAAAGACCCCUCUAGCUCCAUGAAAUUAAAACACAUUCCUCCUAGGGAAGAGACCAUCAUAAGAUUUUCUACAUCUAGUCAUGACUGCAGUUCCUGAGUCCUAGAAAGCUCUUGAAAGCCUCUGGUCUGUGUGUGCAAAGGCAAAGAGUGCUGGACUGGUGUGAGAUAUAUGCUGAGGGUCAAACACUCAAAUUGUGGCUUUUGAUACAAUUUUCUCCAGUACUGCCAAGGAAGGUUUAACAGCAGAGGUUUCGGGUAUGUCUUAGCUGGAGCCCUCAGUUUCCAAACUGGGUCUGCUGUAUCUGCUCCAUGACUGGGGCUGCUCAGGGGGUGUGGGGUGUAGCAUUCUUCCCGUGGCAGAUUUGAACCCACUCCCCCUUGCCAGUGGCAGUGCAUCCACCCAGGAUAUGCAGAUGGGAGCUGCAGUCCUGCAGAACCUGGGGCUGAUUAAAGGAGCAGGUCCCUGGACCUCGGAAAUCACUGCUUGUAAUUCAGCAUUUUUCAAGCACCUGCUAAAACAGAGGAGGAAGGCAGAAGAGCAAGCUGCUCUGUUUAAUGGCACACCUUCAGCUUUAGCAGGGGAAAAAAAUGAAAGCAAAGAGGGCAGCUGAGAUGUGGAAACCACUUUCUUCUUCAGCAGCCCAAUGCUUGAUGGAGAUUUUUAGCUCAGAGACCAAAACCUUUGGUUUUUAGCUAGAAGCAGGAAAAGGGUUAGUGUUUACUAGAUACAAAUAAGCACUCUUUUAGUCUAGACACUCCAGAAUAAGUGUUUAAUAUUAAUAUUAUUAAUAUUAUUUAGUACUAAUAUUAUUUUUCCUUUACUUUUCCUUCUCUUACUUCUGUGCAGU